CAGGUAGUCCGAGGUGUCCACAUCGAGCCAGCUCACAUAGUCAAGAAACGUAGCAUAGACCAACCAUUAAGAAUAAGCAUAUACUACGACCAUUCUGUGUAUAGGUUAGAAUCGGAGAAGUUUUUAAUGAUUAAUGACACAAUUCUCCCUGAAGCCGUAAAAUUUUGGGAGCAAGCGCUGAAAGUGAGGAAGACUGGAGGGCCUAUCAAAUUAAAUAGGUAAGAUCAAUGACGUUUUACAAAUAGAUGCGUCAUAGACUAACAAAAUUGCACAUAAAAACAGCGCAGUAUUUACUAUAGUCACAUA